rnacentral:lncRNA from 10 species
AGAGAAGUUGCUGGUUAUCCAGUCAGUGAUUGCAGGGGGACGUCCUGAAGCUGAGUGUUUACCCGUGUGUGUGUACGUGCACAUACGUGUGUAUGGUGGAAGCAUAAGCUAUUAGAAUGGGCUUAUAAACUGUUUGUCUUUCCAGGCUUGUUUUGCAGAGGGAGAAGCACUUCCAUUAUCUGAAAAGAGGCCUUCGACAACUGACAGAUGCCUAUGAGUGUCUGGAUGCCAGCCGCCCAUGGCUCUGCUAUUGGAUCCUGCACAGCUUGGAACUGCUAGAUGAACCCAUCCCCCAGAUAGUGGCUACAGAUGUGUGUCAGUUCCUGGAGCUGUGUCAGAGCCCAGAAGGUGGCUUUGGAGGAGGACCCGGUCAGUAUCCACACCUUGCACCCACAUAUGCAGCAGUCAAUGCAUUGUGCAUCAUUGGCACCGAGGAGGCCUAUGACAUCAUUAACAGAGAGAAGCUUCUUCAGUAUUUGUACUCCCUGAAGCAACCUGACGGCUCCUUUCUCAUGCAUGUCGGAGGUGAGGUGGAUGUGAGAUUGGACCAUGUGGAGGUAGGGAGAAUAGAAUGU